UGGGGAAUUGUUCGCAAUGGGCGCAAGCCUGACGACGCAACGCCGCGUGGAGGAUGAAGGUCUUCGGAUUGUAAACUCCUGUUGCUCGGGACGAAAAGCUUCGACCUAACACGUCGAAGUCUGACGGUACCGAGUGAGGAAGCCCCGGCUAACUCUGUGCCAGCAGCCGCGGUAAUACAGAGGGGGCAAGCGUUGUUCGGAAUUACUGGGCGUAAAGGGCGCGUAGGCGGCCUGCUAAGUCGAACGUGAAAUCCCUGGGCUCAACCCAGGAACUGCGUCCGAUACUGGUUGGCUUGAAUCCGGGAGAGGGACGUGGAAUUCCAGGUGUAGCGGUGAAAUGCGUAGAUAUCUGGAGGAACACCGGUGGCGAAGGCGACGUCCUGGACCGGCAUUGACGCUGAGGCGCGAAAGCCAGGGGAGCAAACGG
rnacentral:rRNA from 1 species